ensembl:lncRNA
GUAGUAAUAAAUUAAGGCAAAUGAUUAAAGUUUCUGUGAAAGUUUCUUUGCCUUCCUGUAGCAAAUAUCCUGCAAUAACCUUUAAAUCUAGUUCACCUCUGAUACCUCUUUCCCUAAACAAAUAUGCACAGUGUAAAACUUGAUUCCACGACCUGCCUCCUUUCAGUUUGAAGCCAGCCUGAGAUUUACCAAUGAUUUUUGGACACAUAACAAGGAAAAUAGCAGAAAAGCAAGACUUUAUAAACUGCAGCUCACUUCGUCUCAGUCUUCUCUAGCACUUUUUCUGAACUCAGAGCAACAUCUGGCUCAAACCUGGAACCACGUCUCUGACCUUUUAAAAGACAGCAGGUUUUCUAGCGAUAUAAAUAAUACAAAAUGAGGGGCUAUGACACCAACAGAGUAAAUUCACAGACUCCGCCCUCAGCACCAUAGGCUCCAAUCGAAGCUGAAGUGAAGCCGUUUCAGAACAUUUUGCUCUACAUAUUUGAGUUGUUUGCCAUGCUUGGAUAUGCUUGUGAAGAUGGAAUAUGGGGGAGAGCAGAAGUGCGUUGAAGUUCCACAAAGGGAUGAAUGAAGGACAUGCAUAUUGUAUUAAAGAAAUAAGUCAUGAGAAUGCUGUUAUUUGCAUUUACCAUGUCAGACCUUUUGAUAAACAAAAUUCUAAUGAAAGUGAGAACAUGUAUACUGUUACAUCUUUCAGAAAAUGUUUUGAAAUUGGGGUGCACAGUUCAGAAUAAAUGUUUUUCAAAAACCA